rnacentral:hammerhead_ribozyme from 1 species
AUCAAGCUGAUGAGUCCCAAACAGGACGAAACGCGUGUCCUGGAU